rnacentral:rRNA from 1 species
GACGAAGGGGGCUAGCGUUGUUCGGAAUCACUGGGCGUAAAGCGCACGUAGGCGGAUUGUUAAGUCAGGGGUGAAAUCCUGGAGCUCAACUCCAGAACUGCCUUUGAUACUGGCGAUCUUGAGUCCGGGAGAGGUGAGUGGAACUGCGAGUGUAGAGGUGAAAUUCGUAGAUAUUCGCAAGAACACCAGUGGCGAAGGCGGCUCACUGGCCCGGUACUGACGCUGAGGUGCGAAAGCGUGGGGAGCAAACAGG